AACGAACGCUGGCGGCAGGCUUAACACAUGCAAGUCGAGCGCCCCGCAAGGGGAGCGGCCGACGGGUGAGUAACGCGUGGUAAUCUACCCAUCUCUACGGAAUAACGCAUGGAAACGUGUGCUAAUACCGUAUACGUCCUUCGGGAGAAAGAUUUAGCGGAGAUGGAUGAGCCCGCGUUGGAUUAGCAAGUUGGUGGGGUAAAGGCCUACUAAGGCGACGAUCCAUAGCUGGUCUGAGAGGAUGAUCAGCCACACUGGGACUGAGACACGGCCCAGACUCCUACGGGAGGCAGCAGUGGGGAAUAUUGGACAAUGGGCGCAAGCCUGAUCCAGCCAUGCCGCGUGAGUGAUGAAGGCCCUAGGGUUGUAAAGCUCUUUCACCGGUGAAGAUAAUGACGGUAACCGGAGAAGAAGCCCCGGCUAACUUCGUGCCAGCAGCCGCCGUAAGAC
rnacentral:rRNA from 1 species